UACGUAGGUGGCAAGCGUUAUCCGGAAUUAUUGGGCGUAAAGCGCGCGUAGGCGGUUUGUUAAGUCAGAUGUGAAAGCCCCCGGCUCAACCGGGGAGGGUCAUUGGAAACUGGGGAACUUGAGUGCAGAAGAGGAGAGUGGAAUUCCACGUGUAGCGGUGAAAUGCGCAGAGAUAUGGAGGAACACCAGUGGCGAAGGCGACUUUCUGGUCUGUAACUGACGCUGAUGUGCGAAAGCGUGGGGAGCAA
rnacentral:rRNA from 1 species